rnacentral:rRNA from 1 species
AGCCGCGGGGGGAUCUUUUCUAUCGGUGGGGCAGCUAAAGCAUUAAAAAUUCCGCCGCGGGGAGUAGGGUCGCAAGAUUGAAAAUCAAAAAAAUUGACGGGGGGCCGCCCCACAAGUGGAGCAUGUUGUUUAAUUAUUAGCAACGCGCAGAACCUUACCACCCCUUGACAUCCCGAUCGAAGUUUGCAGAGACACUAUCCUUCAGUUCGGAUGUAUCACACACAGGUGCUGCAUGUGUGUUGUCAGCUUGUGUCGUGAGAUGUUGGGUUAAGUCCCGCAACGAGCGCAACCCUUCCCCAUUGUUGCCAGCAUUCAGUUGGGCAUUUUAAGGGGAUGCCCGGGACAAGCCGAGAGGAAUGGGGGAUGACGUCAAGUCCUCAUCCCCUUACGGCAGGGGUUACACACGUGCUACAAUUGUGGUGACAGGGGGCAGCGAGCACGGGGGUGUGAGUUAUUCUCCAAAAGCCAUCUCAGUUCGGAUUGCAGUCUGCAACUCGAGUGCAUGAAGUUGGAAUCGCUAGUAAUCGCGGAUCAGAAUGUCGCGGUGAAUACGUUCCCGGGCCUUGUACACACCUCCCAACACACCAUGGGAGUUGGUUUCUCCCGAAGGCAGCUUAGUC